rnacentral:rRNA from 1 species
CCUACGGGGGGCAUCAGCGGGGAAUAUUGGACAAUGGGGGCAACCCUGAUCCAGCCAUGCCGCGUGUGUGAAGAAGGCCCUCGGGUUGUAAAGCACUUUCAGUGAGGAAGAACGCCUGGUGGUUAAUACCCAUCAGGAAAGACAUCACUCACAGAAGAAGCACCGGCUAACUCCGUGCCAGCAGCCGCGGUAAUACGGAGGGUGCGAGCGUUAAUCGGAAUUACUGGGCGUAAAGCGCGCGUAGGUGGCUUGAUAAGCCGGUUGUGAAAGCCCCGGGCUCAACCUGGGAACGGCAUCCGGAACUGUCAAGCUAGAGUGCAGGAGAGGAAGGUAGAAUUCCCGGUGUAGCGGUGAAAUGCGUAGAGAUCGGGAGGAAUACCAGUGGCGAAGGCGGCCUUCUGGACUGACACUGACACUGAGGUGCGAAAGCGUGGGUAGCAAACAGGAUUAGAUACCCCAGUAGUC